AUUGAACGCUGGCGGCAGGCCUAACACAUGCAAGUCGAGCGGUGCGGCGGACGGAUGAGUAAUUCAUAGGAAUCUACCCGGUAGAGGAGGAUAACGUCCGGUAACGGGCGCUAAUACCACAUACUAUUAGCUGAGCCUAGGUCGCAUUAGCUAGUUGGUGUGGUAAAGGCCUACAAAGGCGACGAGCCGUAACUGGUCUGCGAGGCAGAUCAGUCACACUGGAACUGAGACACGGUCCAGACUCCUACGGGAGGCAGCAGUGGGGAAUAUUGGCAAAUGGGCGAAAGCCUGAUCGAGCCACGCCGCGUGUGUGAAGAAGGUCUUCGGAUUGUAAAGCACUUUAAGUUGGGAGGCGUUACCAACAGAAUAAGCACCGGCUAACUACGUGCCAGCAGCCGCGGUAAUUC
rnacentral:rRNA from 1 species